CACAACUUAAUUCAGCUUCUGUUUUGAAGAGGCUCUCCACAUUCUGUGAUCAGCAUGGAAAUUGCUCUAACUUCUGGAGGAAAUUAUUGAAGUAAGGAACAGAGCAGCUUACAUUAUUUUCCUGUUACUACUACUACAGUUUUAGUGUCAAACCAUCUAACAGAACAACCCUCAAGUGAUGUGCACCUUCAUUACAGCCUGCAGAACAAAUGAUAAAUUGAAGUAGCAACAACCUAAGGUAUUGUUAAGCUGCACUUAGCUACAGAUACUAAGUAGGAGAAAGUAAUUAAUUUCCUUAUCUCACUUAAUUUUUGCUCAGCUUUCUCUCUUGGACAAUUUGACAUGAAGUAUAUAUAGUGGUAACAGAUGAA
rnacentral:lncRNA from 1 species